rnacentral:lncRNA from 1 species
CAAUACGAAACGGCUAGGGUUUCUGCUGAACAGCGUCGACUCGCCGAGUCCAUACCUGGACUCGUCGAGUCCAGUCGCGAACCCGCGACCAAAUCUGCGACCCUACUCGGCGAGUCUGGCUCCAACUCGCCGAGUCUCCCCUUUAAAACACCCCAAAAUGCAAUUUAACAAUACUUGAGAUUUUGGGCUGUUACAAUUCUCCCCCACUAGAAUUAGACUUCGCCCUCGAAGUCUCACUCUGAAAAUAGUUCUGGAUGCUGCUCCCGCAUCACACGUUUCGGCUUCCCUAAACACUUCCGAUAUCUUCCGAGGUCGCUACUGAACCAAUACCAGAGGUACCUCCUUGUUCCUCAGAACCUUGAUCUUCCAAUCUCCGACGGCCACUGGCCUCCCGACGUAACACAGGCUCGCAUCCACCUAAUCGUUCUCUAGUAGAACCACUGCUGACUCAUCCGCUAUACACCUCUUCAACUGCGACACAUACCAGUGUCAUGGAUCCGUCCCAAUUCCGUUGACAGCUCCAAACGAUAGGCCACCCUUCCUACCUUCGCACCUUCACGAAAAGACCCAACAUACCGGGGCCCCCCAUUUACCCCUCUUCCUAAAUCGAAGCACCCCGUCAGAAAUACGAAGUCGCUGACCUGAAUCACAUGCUCGUAACGGCGUCUGCCUGCAUAACUUUCCUGUUAACUCUAGACGAUCACUAACUCUCUUUAACCUGCUGAGUCUGCUUUGUCAACUAAAGUACGAACUCUGAACUGCUCAUCACUCUCUGUAAUCGGAAAUUACCCAAGAUGCACUCUGCUCCAAAUCUCAACGAUCACUCAACCCAUAAGGGUUAGGAAACCCUGAACCACCGGAUCCCCGAUCCAAAGCCCACUUUGCCCAUUCCGGACCGACUGAGAGAUCCGUUCUCCCUCUCAGAUCAACUCUCACAAGUUCCCUCUUGCCAUCACAUACACAUACUGAACUAGUCCCAACACCCGCAGGUGGAAAGACCCGAUACACUGAUGAUAUCCUCGAACAUCUCCCAAGAUGAACCACUACAUCCACCCUACACUCUGAUCAGAUUCACACUGAGAAUUUAAAAUUUUCUCUCUCCAUGCAUCCCUUCUGAGCCUCAACAGACAUCCCAACCGGAUGGGUUCCUACUCCACUGCCGCGAACACGAUGCUCAAAACCAUACUCGAAAUACUCUAACCAUAACUCUGCUCUGCAGCUUUCACUUUCGUGAACUUGCACCCCCUUCGGAGUUACAUACCCUCCUCUUUUCCUUUUCCACGGAACUCUCUUGAACAUAAUGCCACUCCAACCGGUGCCACGGUGCUCGCCCCAAGCGACACCACCCUUUUUGCGUAACUGCUAUUCACAUACUCUGGUUCUCAUUGCAGGGGCUCUCAAUCCCAUGCACUCUCUCCACUCAUCAAAAUCACUGCCUCCGCUAAACAAGAUCAAUAACCCGGGGCCAGACCUUCCAAUGCAAUCACACUGCAACAUACGCGAUCCGCAAAUCUCAAACUAAUCCAGCAAUACCAACAGAGUCUCCAGUAUGACUGGACCGACUCUCAUAACACAUACUAGCCACUCGAGGCUAUAUCUCUGUGGGUCCGUACACCCAACUCUGCGAACCCUCAGGUUCUAACUCUGGGAACCUUCCGGUUCCAGCUCUAGAAACAUGCACAACAUAAUCCCGUGGGAUUAAUGCAGUACAACCAACACGUACCUCAAACGUACCAAUACUCUGAUCGCAAAAUUCCGUUUACUUACUCAAGCUCGAUCCCGACCUCCUCUCAGGCCUCCACAAUCAAAUGCCCUAGGUCUGUAUCUCGCCCUGCAUAUCCAACACUCGCUCUCGUCGGCCUAUACUUUGCGCUGACAAACACUGCUGAAUCCCAACAGCUAAGCACCCUUACAUACUCAUCGAUCUCCCGGAGAAUUUUACAAUUCUCCCCCACUAAAGCACUGACUAACUGCCACCGAUCGUCAUUAACGACCUUUCAGAACCAUCCUGCACAAAGAGAACAUUUACCCACUGACUGCUUCCCACAAGCGUAAGCAACCCUCAGCAAAACACAUCUCCUCCCUGAUCAAUCCGCUCAAAAGAAUCCGAUCUUUCAAUUAUCCACUCCACAACUGCAGAUGCUACCCGUCAUUCAACCCAGUGCCGCAUCUCCACUAUCAACCCUCACGAACGAUGACCAACGGAAUUCCCAAGCAAUAACCCAUAACCAAACCCACAACCUGCCAAAGGUUGAAUAUCGCAUCGAAAACCGCACAAAGCUACCGGCACUAAAACACCAGACUAUAACCAUACCAAACCAUCAGGGAACAACGAAUGCCAAAACGAAACCUGAAGCACCAAUCCAUAACCAUGCCAAUCCCGCGAAACAACGAAUACCGCAUCGAAAUCCACACUACCAGCACAAACAAUACGCCACAAUCAACGCAAGCUAAUCAAGACAUCAAGACAGCAUCAUACCCGCAGCUGCCCCCCCGGCACUGCUCCGUCUCCCUCUGCCGCAAGCCGAUAAGCACAACCCUGAGCCCUUGGGCUCUACUCCAUCCUGUCCUCCUCCUGAACUCCUCAAGGUGGCCGGUGCUAGAGCCUGCACCGAUCCUGCAAAAGCUGUGGACAUUUGACCCUCAAAUGUCCAACCUGUCGACACUGAUAACAAAUCCUGGAAUCCCGAAUUGGCACUGACUGCCGACAACCCCGUGCACCAUGCCCCUCCUUUCCGCACUCGCGGCAUGCACCAUUGGGCCAACAAGCUCCGGUGCCAUCUCUCUCACACUUCCCACAAGUGUGACCGCUCCGAUCCCCCAUUUCAACGUCUACGGUCCUGAACCGUUUCGGCGCCGACUGCGACUGCAUCGGGGCCUGUCCCAGCUCACGCAACUGCAACUUAACCUCUAACUCACGCCACAUGGCGGCCUUCUGCAACUCCAACAGGGUCUCGCACCUCCGCGCAGACACGAACUGUCUGAUACCCCCUUGAGCUUACUCGAAUAUCGGGCAUCUGAGCCUGCUCCGAAGCGAACUCAGGGCAAAACAUCGCCCUCUCAACAAACAUCCCGGUGCUCUCAGUCACCGACUCCAAAUCCUGCCUCAGCUUAACGAACUUCCGAGCCAAUUUCUCCUGUUCAUCCCGCGGAACAUAGCGAGUACUGAACAUCCCUCUGAAUUGAUCCCAUGAAACCGCAGCCCUCUGCGCAUCAGAAAAUGACCUCGUGGUCAAUCUCCACCAAUCCUUCGCCCCGAGCCUCAACAGGUUCAGAGCACACCCCACCCUCUGAUCAGCAGGGCAUAAACUCGUGGAGAAACACCCCUCCAUGUCUGAUAACCAUCUCAUAGCAACAAUCGAGUCCUGAACUCCAUCGAAUGUGGGAGGCUUCGCAUAAUAGAAGUCCCGAUACUGAAAACCCCGACUAGUCCCUUUCUUUGCCGUUGCUACAGCCGCUGUAACCACCGCGGCAGCCGUCUCUGCAAAAGCCGCAUAUCGCUCAUCAAACUACUUCAAUCAUAGUGGUCCUGAUCGACCCAAACAAUUCUGGCGACUCAGCCCGCAACAAUGCAGCAACCUCAUCACGCCGGAUCUCGCGAAUCCUCGCAUCCCGCUCGCUCGUGCUCGUCCGAUCGAUAACCGGAUAACAAGAUAGCCACAAGCAUCAUCCACUACGAACCAUGGUACUCAUCCCAUGACAUCCCUCCUCAACAUGCUUCGGUGUAUGGUACCUGAACCAUAGCACCAUUCCUCAACCUGCUCCAAUGUAUAGCACUCGAACCACAACAUCUAUCUCAAUCUGUUCCGAUGUAUGGUGCCCUGACCAUAACAUCACUCUGUAUCCGCUCCGAUGUAUGGUAUUCGAACCAUAACAUCACUCCUCAAUCUGUUCCUUAGGACCUUCAGAAUGCCCCCUGUAUCAAGUAUGGGUCCUCUGCUUUCAGUAGUACGGGCCCAUACUACCUGCCACAUCUACCCAUACUUUCCACACGGACCAUCCCAGAGUUCCUAAGUAGCUGAUAAACCUGCUCUUUCACCCAUCUCAUCGCGCGUGCUCGCUUUCCAGCGAAAUCCUCUACUCUACCAGCGCACUCAUCUGGCUAGGUUUACUCCCUAGUCCCUUCCGCUGUCCUCCCACUUCUUUGCUAUCAGCUGCUGAAGAGUUCCUAAUGAUGCCAGCCCUCUACCUCCUGAGUAUCGUCAUACUCACUUAGUAGCUGACUCCCAUCAUCGAUAACUCCACAAAGCACAAAGCAAGCAGCAUUCGAGCAUUGAAGCAUACAUAGGACUCCCCAUCUGUGGUAGCUCCACCUUCUCGGCUCAUCCUCGGAAGUACCUCUGUACCCCGUAGCUUUACCCCUUGUGCGUUCUAACUAGAUACUCUCACUCAUCACAUACACACAAAAGCAUAACGCACAUAUAACAGCAAACCCUAGACUAAGGCAUCACAAAUCAGGCCACUCUAGUCCUAAGAUGUGAAAUACCUAGCCUGUCUCUAGCAUGCAAUAAUGUCUCAUAAAGUGCAUAAUAGAUAUUUCAUAAUACAAAAGUAAGGGUAUUUUGGGAAAUCACCGUUUGGCUCUGGCUGAUUGUACACACUGCUCUUUCUUGCUUUCUCUUUGAACUCUUAUUCACUUUUAGAAAACCAUUUAUUUGGAAAACUUUUUCUUACUUCCUCAGUUUGAGUCCAGAUUUACCCGUAGGCGCGUCCGAAUCCCUCAAACCAAGGCUCUGAUACCAAUUUGUAACACCGAGAUUUCCAAAAACAAAAUUUUCAUUUAAAUAAUCAAUUUAAUAUUAAAAACACUUGUUUAAAAUCUUAUUCACAUUCGAAUUACAAAACAUAGUUUCAUUUUCAUUAUAAUAGAAGACCAGGAUCCUCCAAAACACAACUCUUUCUUCGGUGUGUACAAUCGAACCGUUGCCAUCCCGCGUUACUGUAAGAACCUGAAACAACAUAACAUAAACAACGUAAGCACGAAGCUUAGUGAGUUCCCCAAUAUACCUUACGCACAUACGCCUUCCGGCCCGGACCUUUCGGUCCACAUAACAUUGCCUUCCGGCCCGGACCUUUCGGUCCACAUAACAUUGCCUUCCGGCCCGGACCUUUCGGUCCACAUAACAUUGCCUUCCGGCCCGGACCUUUCGGUCCACAAUAUAUAUCGCCUUCCGGCCCAUAAGAUAAUUGCCUUCCGGCCCAUACACAUAUAUAACACAUAAUACAAAUACUCUAACACAUAAAGCACAUAUAUCAUAUAUCAACCCUGACCUUUCUGUCACAUAAUACCUUGCCUUCCGGCCCAUAUAUAAGCAUGUAUAUCACGCGUAGCAGCUAACUUUCCAUUCAUAGCAUAUAAACAUAACACACAACAUACUUGACCUUCCGGUCACACAAUCAAACCCUUCCGGGUGAGGUAUAGUGAGAAGACUCACCUCGCGGACACUGGAAGAUAGCAACUCCUAAAAUCCCUUGCACUUGAUCCUCCGAGCUACAAGCUCCCUGUAACAUCAUAUAUCCCUUAUUAAUACUUCUAUCUUCCACGUUAACUGACCCUAAGAAAUCACACCAGUCAACUCUGGUCAACAGUCCAUUGUCAGCUCGACUGGACUCGGCGAGUUCCCUGGCGACUCGGCGAGUCUGGUCGUCCUUCAAUCCUCUAAGAUUCCCCUUCUACUCGUCGAGUAUCCUCUUUGACUCGACGAGUCACUCCUGGAAGAAUCGCGGGGCCACCCCGACUCCACUCGCCGAGUCUGAAGAACAACUCGGCGAGUCCCAGUGAAUCUUCAAGCUACUCGCCGAGUCUGAUCAUCCGACUCGGCGAGUCCACGCCAUGCAGUCGAUCAAACUGCUUCCUGAGAUACAUAUUUUCCCGAAUAUACAAACAUAGGACCUUCUGGACCUCUAAGGGGUACUAAUACAGGGUUAUAAACGUUGGAUAACAACACAACAAUCCAUCUAAUCUCCAAAUGGGUUUCACAAACCCUAAAUCCAUGCACACAUUCACAUAACAGAAAAUAAUCCGAAAGGUUACCUGAAUCAUGCACUCUCAGUGUCCCCAAGCCUCAAAACGUGAUUCCCUUGCUGUCCCAUUAGCCAAAACCUUCUCCUUCUUGGACAAUAACUUCCUCAAAUCACCAAUGAUCUUCAAUCCUUGUUCUGGAUGCCCACAACCGAUUUAGGGUCCUUCUCAGUCGGCCAAAAAGGCGAACAAUGGAGGCAUAAGAUCCCUUAUAUACGUCCCAAACUGAACGGCUAGGGUUUUCCACUGAACAGCGUCGACUCGCCGAGUCCAUACCUGGACUCGUCGAGUCCAGUCGCGAACCCGCGACCAAAUCUGCGACCCUACUCGGCGAGUCUGGCUCCAACUCGCCGAGUCCCUCCUUUAAAACACCCUAAAAUGCAAUUUAGCAAUACUUGAGAUUUUGGGCUGUUACAAGGGAUUGUCCCUAGGGAUCGAGUCCGGUUUUUUUCACUACAACCAGGUGGGCCACAAGAAGACCGACU